AAACUACUUCUUUCAAUUGCCUGAGUGUGUUUUGUAAUCACAUGGUGAUAUAUUACAUGAAGGUUAGGGUCAUUUAAGUAGUAUUUCCAUGCAUUUCUGUGAUGCUCAAAUUAUUUCUCUCUCUGUUUCUGCCACUUUUAUGGUCAAGGUAAGAGGACAUUUUUAAGUAAUCUGCUCCAUCAGUCUGCAUUUUAAGCUUGAUGGCUGCUUACUGUUAAGGUGAAUCACAUUAUGUGUGAAAAAAAAAGAAAAAAAAUCCUAAGAAGGCAUUUUCUUCUUACUAAUCCAACUAAUCAGCCUGGUAAUGUUUUAUUCUAGCAUGAUAUAUUUGUUGAGGACUUUCUCACAGCUCUCUUGGAGUGUUUCAACCCUCUCGACAAGCACAAAACAUACUCAGGAGAUCACUGAAUGCAAUGAAUAUACAGUAGUUGUGCCUCCAAGAGAGGGUCAGGUGGGACCAGAUCUGAAGGACUACAAUGAGCAAAAAAUCUUACUCUUAUUGAUUACAGUGCAGAAGAAGGUAACUUCACUUCAACAGACCAGAGUCCAUUUUCCUUUAAGUAGUAACAACUAGACUUUCUGCACAGUUCUGUCUUUCUAAUUAAGCUGCCAUAUAGCACAUGAGGCAAAAAGCGUUUUUAGCAUUAAUGAAGCCUGCUACAGUUCAAUGAAGCCGUUGAGUGGUGCAGCAAGUGGUUUUUCUGCCUUUUUUUGCCCUGAGUUCUGCCUCUGAGGUUACAUACAGGCUGUGCGACGUUACUGUGUAGGUUAUUGGGGGGGCAGCUGAAGCAGCCUGAAAGGAAAACCUGCAGACAUUAAUCAGGGCUGAAAAAAAGAUACUGCAAUCUAGAAAAUAAUUUCAUCUGUAUUUUUAUUUAAUGUUAAUAAUGUUUGAGAAGUAUGCUUUUCUGGAAGCAAAAAAUAAGAACAUAAGUUCAGCACAGAUAUAUCAGAAAGUUAUCAGGCACCUGAAACAGUGAUUUUGAAGUAAGGUUACAAUACAGGCUCUACAGUGUUGUUGUUUUUCAUUGGCCAGUAUGCUUGCAACUUAGGCUUUCACUUGUUCCCAGAUCCCAGCACCUACUUUGGGAGUAGAGUGACUGAUUAAACUGAUGCUCAAAACCCUGAAGAUAGGACCAAAGUUUCUGGCAAUUUCUAUUGUAAAUGACAUGUUCUAAUAAUAAGCCCAUGGGAGAUGAAUUGUACAAACUCAAAAUGUAGCACUGGUCCUUCUCUCUCACUUCCUCUGUCUUACUCGAGUGUGUCUCCCUGUAUCUCUGCCUCCCACUCUCCCCACUUCCUGGCGCUCCCUGUGCCUCCCUGGAGUGAGGCUGGGUUAGGGCUGUGCCCAGGGCAGCAGGCUAUAUUAAUAAGACAUACUGCUGUGGAAAGGUAUAGAUCAGAGGAGAAAACAGCGCUCUGGGCUAAUGCACAGCAAAUGAAGGUAGAGGGGAAGGAGAAAGAAAGGGAGGGAGGAACCCAGAAAGAGAUAGAUUGAGGGGAAGACAUAAUGCCUAGGGUACUGUGAAAGAAUGGAUGGCUCGAUGCCUAUGAAAGAGCAGAAAACAAAGAGUUGGAUAUGUGAAGGGGGGAUGAUAAGGUCUAAAAUGAUGAACUCAGCAGGAGGGCUUAUAUAAAGGGCAGUGAUGGGAAGGAUUUGAGUGAUCCACGGUGUCUUAGGGAGCGCGGAUGAAGGAGAAGAUCAGCAACUCGGUGAGGAAUAAAGAUGAAAAAGGUACCUUAAAGAGAUGCAGUUUAAAAUGAAGCCUGAGUAUGAAAACAGAGUAAGUCAUGAAGCAAAAUAACGUCCAGUCAAUCUCUCUGACCACUGAUUUAUCACCAUAUUCUCUUUCUUCUUACCCAUUCAGGCCCCAUCGUCUGCAAUUACCAUUUUAUAUAUAUAAGAGUAGACCGUUUAUCAAGAUGCCAAAUGGAGUCAAACUGAAAUAAUGGGUCAUGCUGAAAAAAGCAGUACUCAUUUAUUUAUCAUCAUGAUUUCCAUGAAGGAGUCCAUUUUAUACCCUUGUUAGUAUGCCAAUGGUUUUUAACAAGGAGACAAAAGCUGUUGAGGGGGCGUUUGGCUAUGCCAAUCUAAAAAUGUCUGAAACUGCUCUCCCAAGCACGUUCUGAAUUAAAGCCAUUGUGAUGGUAAUUUCGUCACCCCUAAUGGACAAUUAGAUAUGCUAGCAGAUAGAGAGCACUCUGCAUAACAGUCUCUGGGUUCUAAUUACUUCACCAAAUGGUGUGGUUGCUCGUGCGCCUAUGGAUCACUAAGGCAAUAAGACAGAGGAGCACAGAUAGAUUGAAGGUGAAAGGGGGCAGUUGCUGUAUUAAACCUAUCCUUCCCUGAUAAAGGUCUGAUGGAUGAGGAGCUGUGUGAACUUUCAUACGUCUGUCAAAUAAUGGCUCCCUUCAAGGGUUUCCUCCAGUGGCCUGAACUCACUGUGUUUGUGCUGAAAGCUUUUGUAUUCAGGAGUAUUGGAAGCUGAGUCUUUUCUCUAACACUGACCUAGGUCAGAUCACUUAGAGCACUUUAAUCCUACUUGAAAGUUGAAAAAUUCUCUUUCAAAAUUUUGAUUUAUUUGGGACAACUGUUGCUGGACAUUGUGUGAAGGACCACAGAGGUCUAUGAGCCCUUAAAAACCCACAUUCUCAAUCAGCUUCUUGUUGUGAGUGACAGUUUCCUGCCUGGCUUAGGACACUUCCUUCCUUAUUUCACGAGAGACUUUUUUUCCUCUGAGCUCUCAGUGGGUGGAGCUCCGGUGAUAUCACAGUUGUUUGUCUGCGUCUGACACAAGCGAAAUGCAGCUGGUAGGCAGCUGGUAAGUGAUUAUCCAGAUGAGAAGCGGUUCACGAAAUGCCUUCUUUUUUUUAAGGCUGCUUAAAUCAAUCAAACUGAGUGCCAAAAGUUGUUUUUCUUAACAUGGCUUAAUGGCUUGCAGUCCUCACACAUGGCUGGGAGGAGACAAGUUGGAUAAUGCUAAUGUAUGGGGACCACUUCAUGAAGGAAGCUUCAGCAACACCUCUAAUGACUGCAGGCUGUCAGUGCCUACACUGCAAAGACUGUGAGACGGGGGUUCUGCCUUUUCAAC